rnacentral:rRNA from 1 species
UACGUAGGGGGCAAGCGUUGUCCGGAAUCAUUGGGCGUAAAGCGCGCGUAGGCGGCCCGGUAAGUCCGUUGUGAAAGUCAAAGGCUCAACCCUGGGCGUGCGGUGGAUACUGCCGGGCUAGAGGGUGGUAGAGGCGAGUGGAAUUCCCGGUGUAGCGGUGAAAUGCGCAGAUAUCGGGAGGAACACCAGUAGCGAAGGCGGCUCGCUGGGCCAUUCCUGACGCUGAGACGCGAAAGCUAGGGGAGGCGAACAGG